rnacentral:rRNA from 1 species
GCAAAUUACCCAAUCCAGACAUUGGGAGGUAGUGACGAGAAAUACCAAAGCGUGCCUACGGUUCGCUAUUAUGCCGAAGGUAACAUAGUACCUUCGAUGAGUACCUACUGGAGGGCAAGUCUGGUGCCAGCAGCCGCGGUAAUUCCAGCUCCAGUAGUGUAUAUCAAAAUUGUUGCGGUUAAACGCUCGUAGUUGGAUUACAAGAGUUUGGCGUCGGUCGAGCGGUAGUUCGGCAGGCGUUGGGCUUUUUUAUCGCAAGAACCAUGUGUACACUUGACCGUGUGUAUGUGGCCACUUGCGGAGCGGGCUUUGAAAUAAAGCAUAGUGCUCAAAGCAGGCGUAACGCUCGAAUGUUUAUAGCAUGGAACCGAAUAACCCUGGCCAGUUUUCUGUUUGUUGGGUUCUCUGAACCGGGUCACUGAUUAAGAAGGGGACAUUUUGAGGGGCGUUAGUACUUGGGUGACCGAGAGGUGAAAUUCUUUAGACCCACCAAAAGACUCACUGAUAAGAAAGCAUUCGCCCAAGAAUGUUUUCAUUGAUCAAGAACGAAACUUAGAGGUUCGAAGACGAUCAGAUACCGUCCUAGUUCUAUACAGUAAACUAUGCCACCUCGGGAUCAGUCCGGAGAUGGAAAGAGGUUGGUCAGUCCCCAAGGAAACUGGAAGUUAUCGUGUUCCGGGGGGAAUACGAUCGAAUUCGCGGAACUUAAAGAAAUUGAGUGAAGCGCACCACCAAGGAGUGGAGCCUGGGGCUUUAAAUUUGACUCAACACGGGGCAAACUCACCAAAGUCCAGACAUUUGAAAGGAUUGACAGACUGAUAGAUCUUUUCAAGAUCCAAUGAUUGGUGGUGCAUGGCCGUUCUUAGUUGGUGGAGUGAUCUGUCAGGUCUAUUCCGGUAAUGAGCGAGACCACGAUCUCUAUUUGAUUACGGCACUCUUAGGCAGCGUCGGUCAUGGAGAGACUACCGGAAUACAAGCCGGGGGAAGCGUGGCAAUAACAGGCCUGUGAUGCCCUUCGAUGUUCUGGGCCGCACGCGCGCUACAAUGGCAGUGACAACAAGUUUCUGCACCGAGAGGUGUGGAGAAUCUUGACAAUCGCUGUCGUGAUUGGGAUUGAGCCUUCCUCGUUAGGCUCAUGAAAGAGGAAUUCCUCGUAAGCGCAAGUCACCAACUUGUGUUGAAUACGUCUCUGCCCUUUGUACACACCGCCUGUCGCUACUACCGAUUGAAUGGCUUUUCGAGAAAUCGGGAUUGAUGUUUAUAGCAGCCUGGUCGAACCGAAUAACCCUGGCCAGUUUUCUGUUUGUUGGGUUCUCUGAACCGGGUCACUGAUUAAGAAGGGGACAUUUUGAGGUACCUGGGUACGUUAGUACUUGGGUGACCGAGUAAGGUGAAAUUCUUUAGACCCACGCGUA